ACUCACUCGCAACAAUUCCAAGAAAAUAAGAUGGGAAUGGUGGUGUCUGCAAACCAGAAGGGACUGCCUAUAGUCCUAUAGCCUUGCUUAUUCCCUCCAGCAACCACUACUGGCAAAGCCUAAAUUUUCACAAAGGAGAAAUGUUACCUGGCCCAGCUCCAACAUCAGGAAGCGGUGCAAAGGAGAGAUUGAGAGACACUGGAUUUGUAACCAAAGUAGGGUUUUG
rnacentral:lncRNA from 13 species